UUUUAGGAAUGCUGAUGGAGGUGCCUGCUGACUAUUUUGCCAUGGCUCUGUUUACAUUCCUUGUGGAAUAUGCGUGCCCUUUACUCGCCUGUGGCUCGUGGGGCACUGGCUGUCAGUCAGGCAGUAAAAUACUUUAAUUACCCCCCUGCACCAGACAGAGCAGAGAGAAAGGGUGGGAAGGGAUGAAAGGAGUUCACUUCAAGCUUACUUUCUGACUGUCAGAAGAAUGAUAAACUGUAAGUCCUGGCUAUUAUUAUCCCUCCUUUCUCCAGGAAGGGCAGUCCUGAUGGAAAGAGGUGUUGGGGUGGCUGUGCUUUGUAGGUCCUGCUCUGAGUGUCUGAGGGAAUGGGAAUGGCCACUGCAGAGGGGUGGCUCUACGGACUUUUAUCCAGCAGCUCAGAUAACCUAGAGCUGAGAGAGGGAGAGAUUUCCUCUCCCUGCUGCAGGACCAUUAUGUGUUAAUAACAGACUGUGAUGGUAUUUUUCUUAACUUUUUCUUCCCUUCAAACUCUUAAUUUCCUUUUUUUUUUUUUCCCAUUGAUAUCAAAAUCACUUUCUCUCCGGUAGAGAUCUUCAGCAGUUAAAUUGUGCUCACAUGGAAUAAAUGGGAGCCCCUGUUGCUAUAAGGUUUCUGAGAAGCUGUCUCAAUUAAUUAAUAAACAGUCAGGCUGCACAGAGGUGGCAUUCUCCCUUGCAGCAGUUGGUGAGCAGCUAUGGAACCCUGCCAGGUGCACGGGGAUGGGGGAAGGCAGUGUGCCCUGCGAGGAUCCUGCGGGCACACGGGACAUCACUGCCUGUCUUUAGCGAUGACUGCUGAACGCUGCUCUUCUCCUGAUCCCAUUUGCCAUCUGUGACAGGGCUGUAACAGGAACUGUUCAUUCAGUCAAGGGUCGGAAGUGUCAGCCAGGGACUGUCCAGCUCUCCCCGAAUUGCAGAUUGCUCAAACCCUCGCAGGAGCACUCCUGGAAUUGUUGAGAAGGACUCUGGUGUCAGACUCAGUGUGGAGAUGCUUUCCCCAAGAAUGGGCUGCUCAGACCCAUCCAGCUACCGUGUGGGAGGAGUCUCUCAAAUGUCACUUGCAAGAAAAUGAAUUUAAUAACUGUGUCCCGAGACAGGUUAUAAACUGAGCCUCUCGUUAGCCAGUGGUGACCUCUGCCAGGCACAGCAAGCAAACAAGGGCACUGCUGUGCGGUGGGUACAGGAGGAUGUUGAUUGUUCAAGAUGUGGAGGGAGUUCCACCCCUGCAAAAAAAGCCUGGAGGACUUUUUAUUGUAGCUUUGAAGGGCACAGCAUUUGCUGUGAUGAUUCACUACUUCUGCCAGUUUGUAGUUGAAAGGUGGGCUCUCUUCAUUCAAACGGAUUGGUGGUUCUGAAGAAAGCAAAUUUAAGUUGGUUUUUAAUCCUUUUUUUUCUUAAGUAAGAGCAUUGGUUUUCUCCCAGCUGUGCAGAAAGGGAAUCUGAUUGCUUUCAGUUGUUCCUUUGUGGAAUUCACUUACGUUCCCUCACAGUAACUGAGGAAGUGACUGACUUUUUCAUUAUACUUUCCAUAGUACAGAUUGGCAUAGAAGGUCCCUCUUGAUCUUUCAGAAGUGGAAUUGUGAUUCAGGAGAAGGAGGGAAGAGGGGAAAAUCUUUUAAUUUCUCCCUCUCGCACGCCCAAGUUCUUUUUGUUAAUCAUUCUUGUGCCAUGAAGUAUUUGCUACUGCUUAGUAAAAUCACUGGGAAUUUAUCACCAGGGUGGCAAAUGGUGAAUCUUGAGAAGCUGAUGAGGAGCCUGUAGAGCUUUGGAGCUGAUAAUUGUGAGCUCCAAGGGGGGCCUGACUUCAGGAAUCCUGGACCCCAGAGAGAGAGUCAGGAUGACAUUUGGGCCCAUAGGGGAGGAGCAAGAUUCAGCUGAUGCUUUGGAUUAAGAUUUAUUCUAAUCUGGCUCUUCCCCACUUGGUACUUGAAAAUCAAGUAAAACCUAAACUGGAAAUGGAGCAUUCUGUCAGAGUGGGUACUUUUGCUAUAAAAGUUUUUUUUUUUGGGGAAGAGGAUGAGGUUUCAUUUUACCUCUGCAACAACCAAGAUGCAACAUGUCACAGAAACCAGUACGUUAAUUUAGCUGUUUGCUUUGGUACUUCUUUAUGCUUAAAACACAUACUCAAACUGUGUUCCUGACUAUUCCCUCCCUGAAAAAAUAAUAAAUA